rnacentral:rRNA from 1 species
UAAUGUAUGGGGAUCUGCCCGAUAGAGGGGGAUAACUACUGAAAACGGUGGCUAAUACCGCAUAAUGUCUACGGACCAAAGCAGGGGCUCUUCGGACCUUGCACUAUCGGAUGAACCCAUAUGGGAUUAGCUAGUAGGUGGGGUAAAGGCUCACCUAGGCGGCGAUCUCUAGCUGGUCUGAGAGGAUGAUCAGCCACACUGGGACUGAGACACGGCCCAG